rnacentral:misc_RNA from 1 species
GUGAAAUUAACUCCUUUCGCACUUCUAGCUAUGCUCUUAUUUGUCCGCCUCCUCAUACUUCAAUGGAGGUGAUACAAAGUUAGGUCCAUACCACUGAUUCUUUAUGCAGUUUGAUCAGUCACUAAUGGGAAGAAAAGACUCACAACCCUUUUUUCCUUAAUAAUUUAACACUUCUAUUACACAUAACUGCACUUCACCUACACACUACAGCAAAUAAGGACCUAAAAUUGACAACUUUAGAGACUUUACAACUCUGACAAAGACAAAAUAAUAAAGGCAAGCAACAAAAACCAAUGCAUCUGCCUAUACCUACCUGCAUAUGACCACACUAAAAGCCUUUUGGCAUAAAUAAAAAUACCUCCCAAGUUGAGCAGGAGAGGAAAAAAGAAUAAAUUGAACCGGACAACAAACAGCUACGAUUGCCCAAAAGCAGGUGGACAAAAAUAUACACUAGCCAUUAAAUGCAACAAACAAUGUAUGCACAAGUUCUGCAUGUUCCUUGAUGUGCACGAGCGUCAGCUCUCUGGAGCUAUGCAAACAUGUUGAAUUGUAUAUUUAGAACCACCAUCAACUAGACCGUUGAUGCAAGAAUACAAAUCCUGAAUUCUCACGGAUUAAUGGAGGAGGUUCAACAUCACCAAUGUCUAUUUGUUGCAUCGUUUUGGAGAUGUCAUCCACGGAGAAUGGAAUGCUCGAAUCA